rnacentral:tRNA from 1 species
UUCCUGGCAGUCUAGUGGUUAAGACUCUGCACUUUCACUGCAAGGGGCACAGGUUUGAUCCCUGGUUGGGGAA